UACGUAGGGAGCAAGCGUUGUUCGGAUUUACUGGGCGUAAAGGGCGCGUAGGCGGCGCGGUAAGUCACUUGUGAAAUCUCUGAGCUUAACUCAGAACGGCCAAGUGAUACUGCAGUGCUAGAGUGCAGAAGGGGCAAUCGGAAUUCUUGGUGUAGCGGUGAAAUGCGUAGAUAUCGGGAGGAACACCAGUGGCGAAGGCGGCUGCCUGGGCCAGUUCUGACGCUGAGGCGCGAAAGCGUGGGGAGCAAACAGG
rnacentral:rRNA from 1 species